rnacentral:rRNA from 1 species
GGAAUUUUGGACAAUGGGGGCAACCCUGAUCCAGCAAUGCCGCGUGAGUGAAGAAGGCCUUCGGGUUGUAAAGCUCUUUUGUCAGGGAAGAAACAGCAGCUCUAACACAGUCUGCGAAUGACGGUACCUGAAGAAUAAGCACCGGCUAACUACGUGCCAGCAGCCGCGGUAAUACGUAGGGUGCGAGCGUUAAUCGGAAUUACUGGGCGUAAAGCGUGCGCAGGCGGUUAUACAAGACAGGCGUGAAAUCCCCGGGCUUAACCUGGGAAUGGCGUCUGUGACUGUAUAGCUAGAGUGUGUCAGAGGGGGGUGGAAUUCCACGUGUAGCAGUGAAAUGCGUAGAUAUGUGGAGGAACACCAAUGGCGAAGGCAGCCCCCUGGGAUAACACUGACGCUCAUGCACGAAAGCGUGGGGAGCAAACAGGAUUAGAUACCCUGGUAGUCCACGCCCUAAACGAUGCUGACUAGUUGUUGGGAAUUUACAUUCUCAGUAACGUAGCUAACGCGUGAAGUCAGCCGCCUGGGGAGUACGGUCGCAAGAUUAAAACUCAAAUGAAUUGACGG